GCCUGGGUGGCUCAGUGGUUGAGCAUCUGCCUUUGGUUCAGGAUCCCCGGGGUCCUGGGAUCGAGUCCCACACUGGGCU
rnacentral:tRNA from 1 species